rnacentral:rRNA from 1 species
GACGAACGCUGGCGGCGUGCUUAACACAUGCAAGUCGAGCGGUAAGGCCCUUUCGGGGGUACACGAGCGGCGAACGGGUGAGUAACACGUGGGUGACCUGCCCUCAGCUCUGGGAUAAGCCUGGGAAACCGGGUCUAAUACCGGAUAUGACUCCAUGACGCAUGUUGUGGGGUGGAAAGCCUUGUGCGGCUGAGGAUGGGGCCCGCGGCCUAUCAGCUUGUUGGUGGGGUGAUGGCCUACCAAGGCGACGACGGGUAGCCGGCCUGAGAGGGCGACCGGCCACACUGGGACUGAGACACGGCCCAGACUCCUACGGGAGGCAGCAGUGGGGAAUAUUGCGCAAUGGACGAAAGUCUGACGCAGCAACGCCGCGUGAGGGAUGACGGCCU